CCGCAGCCCCCCCACUCCCAGGCCGUGCCCUCGGUGCCCGGCCCCGCCGUGGGCGAGGGGGGGGCCCUGCUGCGGGUCAGCUCGCAGCCGCACUGCAGCAGCUCGCCCAUGCUGCAGGCCUGCGUGAUGGCGUGGCUGACGCCGGCCGCCGUGAUGGCAUACACGAAGGCUGUCUCUCGGAUAUCUGCAGGGGAACAGCAGGGCCGGGAUGUGGGGUCAGCUCUGGGUAAGGCUCCGCAAGCAAAGCACCCCCUCGCCUGCGCCCGUGGGUGCUCGGAUCCCCCCCGUACCCACUUUGCCACGGGGCGAUGCCUGCUCCCCCCCCCUUUCCCUGCACCGGCGCAGCCUCCACCCUGCAGGAUUAUUUAUUAUUAGUAUUUGCUCCUGUCUCUCUCUGCUCCGGGACACAAAUUCCAAGCAUCCUUCCCCUGCCCGGACCUGCCGCUCGCAGCCGCAGCCAGCGGGGGAUUCUGGCAGCGGGGGCGCGGCGCCCUGCUCGGGGGGAUCCCACACACCCCCCACCCUGUGCCAGGCGGGCCCCUGGGUGCCAGGGGUGCGGGGGCUCUGUCCCCAAGCCGGGCGCACCCCUAAAGGGUUUUGGGACCCCGUCGCCCACCUCGCGCCCACCCCCGGGCUGCCCUUACUCACCACCAGAGCCCGAUGAUGUUGGCGGGGCAGAGGAGGAUGAAGAAGAGCCCCAGCUGGGUCCGGGAGGGGGGCAACAUCCUGCCGGGGGCGGGGGGGCAGCGAGGAGAGCCGAGCCCCCCUCCGAGCCCCCCCGAGGAAGGCGGAGGGGCUGGCCGGGGCCCCGCGGCUGGGUGCCCGCUGCCUCCCUCCGCCAGCCCGGGGCCGGAGGGGCCGGGCCGUGCCGGGCCGGGCCGGGCCGGGCUGGGCUGGGCCGGGCAGGCACCUCCGGGCGGCUGGAGCGCGGCGCGGAGGCUGCUCCGCAGAAGGAGGAGGAGGGACAGGGCUGCGAAAGCAUCUGCCUCCGACAGGGAAACCGGAGCCCGGGGGGACGGACAGGGCGGGCCGGGCGGGGGGACUCCGGGAUGCCAAGCGCUGCGCCCUGAGCGCGCAGCCACGGCCACGGGCACGGCUCCGGGCACGGCUCCGGGCAUCCCCCGGCCACCGGGCAGCGCCCACGGCUCGCCCGGCCCCUCCGCCUUGCUUGGCACGGCCCUGCCUCACCGUGUCCCCCCCCCGCCACCUGCCCACCUGCACGGCCCCGGGGGUCCCUUGGCCGAGCCUGGCAUCCCCGCACCACUUGGUGUCCUUAUUAAGGGCUCUGCCCCGCUCCCCGGCACCGCACCAGGCUGUCCCAGCGGGGGACGCUGCAGAAGGGACACCCCCAAGCAUCUCUCGGCACCCCCCCCCUCCUCACAGGCAGGUGGGUGAGGAGCGAGCAGAGCGGGGAAGGAGACAGAAGGAGAGGGUGCCCGCAGGCUGCCACCCCAAUUUUCACCCCUCCUGAGCUUCCCUAGCCCCAGCAUCCUCCCUGCUGGUGAGCCCACCCCUAGCUCCUUGCCACCAGUGCUCCCCAGCAUCCUCCUCCCCAUCACCUGGCCACGUUGGCUCCCACCGGCAGCAUUUGGUGGCGAAUGACUCAGGUUUUCUCUGCGGCUUGGCACGGUUCUCCUCUCCCCGUGGGUGCGGGAGGGAAGGGACUCCCACCACCUCCCACCCACCUGCUCCUACCCUGCCCUCCCACGCGGGCACCGGCCUCCAGCUCGGCAUCCGUGGCGCUGCCACCAGCCUCGAGCUGCCCUCACCCUGCCAUGGGGACACGGGGACCUUCCCCGAGCUGCACCGGGGCUGCUGCACCAUCCCUGGGGGCUUCUGCUUUCACCCCGCAGCCUCCAUCCCCCCUGCCCCGUGGCUCCCCCACCGCCUUGGGUACAGGGGGCAGUCGGCACCAGGCAGCUCCUGGGCAGGGGACAUCCCAGCCGGGGCUGGGGACAGGGUGCCACCGUGCCCGCAGCACGCAGCUCAUCCGCCGGCGUGUUGAAAGUGCCUGUUGUCCCCCCGCCCCGAGCACCGUGGCCGCCUCCGUCUGCGGGGCAGGUGAGAAGC
rnacentral:lncRNA from 1 species